CUGCGCCAUUUUCCGUGACCAUUGUUACAGCGAACAUUGAACAAGUAUAAAGUGUCAUUACGCAGAUAUAUAAUUCAUAAAAUAUAUCAAUAAUGAAAUAUAUGUGCAUUCGUUUACUUGAAGUGAUGACGAGUAGUAUGUGACAAUAGUGAAGUUUAUUUUUUUUUUUUAAUUUCCCGUGAGUGUAAAGAGAUCGCUAGUCGUCGGGAGCGUCUGGGAGGAAAUUCCAAGUAUUUAAAUAUUGAUUUUUAAUAUAUAUAUAUAUAUAUAUUAAGUAUACAUUUAAAAAGGGAAUUAAUGUUUAAAGAAUAUUAAAAUAGAGAUAAUAUAAAGUAAUUACAUAUUUUAUUAUCGGUUUUUAAAAAUUAACAUGGCGCCUGCGCAGUAGUUUGAAAAUCAAGUAAUCGAUAUAUAUCAAAUAAAAUUAUCGAACGUCAGUUAAAUAAAUGCGUAUUAUUUUUAGUCUCAGUACUUAUGAUGUAAAUGCGCGUCAUUUUAUGAAAAUUUUUGUAGUGGACAGUUAUAGUUAUUGUUUAAGGAAUUAAUAUGUGAAAAAUUAUCAGUGUAUUUAUUAUUUAAAGUAUCAUUACUUGUGUUGUUUUCAUGUGCGGUAAUUUUUUUUUUCAAUAAUUACUGUGUCAAUGUUGUCUCGGUUUUAUGUCAGUAUCAUAUUAAUAGAGUCAGUGUCAUUGUCAAUGUUUGAGUCCGUGUUAAAAUCAGUGUCAAUUAAAUAUUAGAGUCAGUGUUUGAAUCAGUAUUAGAAUCAGUGUUUGAAUCAGUAUUAGAAUCAGUGUUUGAAUCAGUAUUAGAGUCAGUGUUUGAAUCAGUACUAGAGUCAGUGUUUUAAUCAGUAUUAGAAUCAGUGUUUGAAUCAGUAUUAGAAUCAGUGUUUGAAUCAGUAUUAGAGUCAGUGUUAGAAUCAGUGUCAGCCUGCAAAGUUUGAUCAAGAAUUGUUGGUUGCUGAAAUCACCAGAAGACCGGAGAGACACUUGAAGGUAUAUAAAUUAUCAGACACCACUAACUAAAGGAAAUAUGACAUGAUUCAUCGUACAAGUGGAUGUUUAGCCGAUGUGCAAUUUUCUUUCUCACUCUUUAUCGCUUUGUUGGUAACUUCUUUAGCUUCCGGCGUGUGUGCGCAGUUUCCAAGGAUACAAGUCUUUGAACGACGAAUAAGAUGAAGUAGCCAGCACUUUAUAAAAACAAGAAGAAGACGGCUUAGAAAAUGAUUUAAAAAAUAAAUAAAUAAAAAAAAUUGCGAUGAAGAAGCAGUUGAAGCAGAAAAAACGAUCAAGAAGAAGUAGAAGAAGAAGAAGAAGAAGAAGAAGCAAUGAGAAGACGCGAAUAAGUUUUUCGAUAUUUUGCUCACGCACGCGCUCACGCAACCACGCACUUACUCACGCAAGUGGUGGUGAUCCUCAUGGUGGUGGCUGUUACCGUGGGUGGUUGCACUGCUUCGGGUAAAAAGAAGCUGUGCACCUUGAUAAAGAGGAAGAUAUUGACUUUUCCUUUUCUCUUUCCUCUCUCUUCUCAGCCUCGCCCAUCAACUGAUCACGAGGAUCGAAGCAAGGAUAACUUUUAUAAAAAAACCAAGAAAAGAGACUUGAUGAUGAAGAGUAAAGAACAUGACACAAGUGGAAUAAUAAAGUCUGAAUAAAAGAUGAAAUCUAACGUAACUUAAUCUAGAUCCAGAGGUCACCAUUCGCAGGCAUAAAAAAUUUAUUAUUAUUCUGGUUAUAAAACAAACAGAGUUCAACAACUAGAUAUGUCGCAAAGAAUUUAUAUCAAAUAAUCGUUAAUGGCUUCAUCAGUUUCGGCUACAUAAGAGCAAAUGGAAAACAUGGUAGCGCCAUCAUGGACACUGUAAUCUUCUUCACCUGUAAAAUAAUUCAUCAAUGAAGCGUUUCAGAUAAUUUUAUUGUGUGGCUAGUUAAACUUAAUGGAGUUACUUCGUGAAGAAAGCAUAGCGGCAUAAGCGAACAAGAGUUACAAGCUUACAAUAAAAGCGAGUGAUGGAUUUAAAGAGAAGCUAUAAUGAGAAUUGAUUAAAAAAUGAUGAAAAGAUUCGAGAUAACUUGGCCUUGGGCAAUAAAAAGCAAUUACCUUCUACGGAUAAAUAUGCUGUGGUAGUAGAAACGCCCAGAGGAUUGAGCGCUUCGAAGACAAUUUCUCCA